GGAUUCCCCUUGUUAAAUCUCUUGUCUUUCUAUCUUGUCUCUUGGGUGUUUCACUUGGGAUUCUCAUUUUUGGGAUAUCUAGUUUGUUCUCUUAGAACUUUGAGGAAAACUCUUUUGAGGGACUACCAAAUUGAGUGAAACACGUGUGUGGGCAAGGACAAACACCUGAGUGUGAGAGGGUUUUAAUCUAACUUUACCUUGUCUAAGUUUUCAGGUAGCUAUGGACAGUGAAGAAGAAAGAAACCGACCCGGAAACUCACAUGCCGGGCUAUCUAACUUGCAAAUGCGUGC
rnacentral:lncRNA from 1 species